UGAAAUUUGCAUUACCCUGCAUCUUUUGCGGCCCGAGAAUCUGCUUCUAGACUCAUUUGGUGUUCUUAAGGUUUCAGACUUUGGAUUGAGUGCAUUUUCCCAGCAAGUGCGGGAAGACGUGCUGCUUCACACUGCCUGUGGAACCCCAAAUUAUGUUGCUCCUGAGGUGCUCACUAAUAAAGGUUAUGAUGGUACAACAGCUGAUAUAUGGUCUUGUGGGGUCAUUCUGUUUGUUCUUAUGGUUUGAUACUUACCUUUUGACGAGCCGAACCACAUGGCUUUGAAAGCAUUCAAGAACUUAGUUUUUUCAAGUUUUUUUAAAUUUUUUAAUAUAUGUAAUCACAGUUAAAUUUUUUUUAUUAAUUUCUUUGUAUAUACUUUUGAACAUUUAACUUUCAUUUAUGAAAUAUAUGACGUU